rnacentral:RNase_P_RNA from 1 species
GCGGCGGGCGAAAGCCCGUCGAGGAAAGUCCGGGCUCCACGGAAACACGGUGACGGAUAACAUCCGCCGGGGGUAACCCCAGGGAUAGCGCCACAGAAAACAAACCGCCCAAACUUAAGGCGUCAUGUCUUAGGAGCAGGUAAGGGUGAAACGGUGCGGCAAGAGCGCACCGCGCGACCGGCAACGGAAGCGGCACGGCAAGCCCCACCGGGAGCAAGACCAAAUAGGGACGGCAGGUAACCUGUUUCCGGGUCGCCGUCCGGGUAGGUCGCGCGAGGCGGCAGGCAACUGCCGUCCCAGAGGAAUGGCCAUCUAUCCGCUUCGGCGGUGGACAGAACCCGGCUUACAGGCCAUCUGACGCA